AUGCCUCUAGCCCUCUUAGCCCUGCUUGCCAAAGCUGUGGUUUCAGAGCUCUUUCCUGUGACUCCCCUAUCUAUCCACCUACUCCUCCUCCUAGCCCUGCUUGCCAGUGCUGUGGUCCCAGAAUUCCUUCCUGUCACUCCCCUGUCUAUCCGCCUACUCCUCAUCCUAGCCCUACUACUUCCCGAUACUCUAGUCCCAGAACUCUUUCCUGUGACUCCUUUAUCUAUUCCUCUACUACUACUUCUAGCUCUGUUUGCGAAUGCUGUGGUCCCUGAACUUUUUCCUGUCACUCCCCUAUCGAUCCCCCUACUCCUCCUUGUAGCCCUUCUUUCUAGAACUCAGCCUCCAGCCCUGCCACCUGCAACCAGACCUGGCGAUUCAAAGAUCUCAUCUUGGAGAUGUUUUUCCUGCUCCUGGAGCAGUUUUGGUGCAGUUCAGAAUGGCCAGGACCAUGGCUUCAGCAGCCUGACGUGGUGGACAAAGGAAAUGCAAGACAAUGGCAAACCUGCAUUCAGCCUCAUCUGCUCCUUUCCUUCCCUGCCUGAUCAGCCAGAUGGCCUAAGCUUCUACAUUUGUCCCUGGCUUCUCCAUGGAACUCAGUCUGUAGCCACAGAACAAACCACAGGGCCAGAGACAGAGAAAGUAGAGGUGAAUGAGGAGUGGGAAGCACCUCAUCUGUUCUCAAGGAGGAGAAUGAUUGGCCAAGAUGAGAUCCAAUCAUAUGUCCAUCAUCUCCUGGGUCAUCCACUUGGUGGUGAGUCCUUUCCAGGCCAUGUGCAGGGGCAGUUCCAGUAA
rnacentral:lncRNA from 1 species